CCAAUAGCGUAUAUUAAAGUUGUUGCAGUUAAAAAGCUCGUAGUUGAAUUUCGGGACCAGUAUGUCGGUCGUGCUUCGGUACGUACUUGCAUUAUUGGUUUCUCCCUUCUGAAGAACCAUGAUGUCAUUAAUUUGAUGUCAUGGGGAAUCAGGCCUGUUACUUUGAAAAAAUUAGAGUGUUUAAAGCAGGCUCGCGCUUGAAUACAUUAGCAUGGAAUAAUGAAAUAGGACGUUUGAUUCUAUUUUGUUGGUUUCUAGGAUCGACGUAAUGAUUAAUAGGGAUAGUUGGGGGCAUUAGUAUUCAAUUGACAGAGGUGAAAUUCUUGGAUUUAUUGAAGACUAACUACUGCGAAAGCAUUUGCCAAGGAUGUUUUCAUUAAUCAAGACCGAAAGUUAGGGGAUCGAAGACGAUCAGAUACCGUCGUAGUCUUAACCAUAAACUAUGCCGACUAGGGAUCGGAUGAUGUUAAUUUUUUAAUGAAUCAUUCGGCGCCUUACG
rnacentral:rRNA from 1 species